UACGUAGGUGACAAGCGUUGUCCGGAUUUACUGGGCGUAAAGAGCGCGCAGGCGGUCGAUCAAGUCGAGUGUGAAAGCCCCCGGCUCAACUGGGGAGGGUCAUUCGAUACUGAUCGACUCGAAGGCAGGAGAGGGUAGUGGAAUUCCCGGUGUAGUGGUGAAAUGCGUAGAUAUCGGAAGGAACAUCAGUGGCGAAAGCGGCUUCCUGGUCCAGCACCGACGUUCAGGCACGAAAGCGUGGGGAGCAAACAGG
rnacentral:rRNA from 1 species